CAUGGAGGAAGCUGACUUGACUGGUGUGGUACAGAGAAGCCAGCUUUACAUGCCUAAUUCAUG
rfam:Sarcophilus harrisii ctg7180001386564, whole genome shotgun sequence.